rnacentral:rRNA from 1 species
CCAGACUCCUACGGGAGGCAGCAGUGGGGAAUAUUGCACAAUGGAGGAAACUCUGAUGCAGCGACGCCGCGUGAGGGAAGACGGUCUUCGGAUUGUAAACCUCUGUCUUUGGGGAAGAAAAUGACGGUACCCAAAGAGGAAGCUCCGGCUAACUACGUGCCAGCAGCCGCGGUCAUACGUAGGAUCCGAGCAUUAUCCGGAGUGACUGGGUGUAAAGAGUUGCGUAGGUGGCAUAAUAAGUAGCUAGUGAAAUCUGGUGGCUCAACCAUUCAGACUAUUAGCUAAACUGUUAAGCUCGAGACCGUUAGGGGUAACUGGAAUUUCUAGUGUAGGAGUGAAAUCCGUAGAUAUUAGAAGGAACACCAAUAGCGUAGGCAGGUUACUGGGACGGUUCUGACACUAAGGCACGAAAGCGUAGGGAGCAAACGGGAUUAGAUACCCGGGUAAAA